GCGGAGCGGCGGAGCGGCUCGGUUCGAACCUCGACAGCGCCAUCUCUCGUCCGCAGGAUGAAUGACUCAAAGGUUUGCUUUAGAAGGAGCAGAUGAAAAAGUAUCACCUGGAUGAAUUUCUUCUCUCUCUUUCCCCCAAAAUUUUCUGGUGGACUGGGCUCCCUGGUGCUGUGCCACUGCAGCCUUUGCUCCGGCCGAGCUCCUGCUGACCCGCUGCACGCCAGGAAUGGAUGCUGCUCUACACUCACCUUCUCAUACAUUUCCCUUUUUUCCCCUAAUCCUGUUUUUAUGCUUGGGUUUAUGUCCCAAUAAUCAAUAUAAUUUAGGCCCAUUCUGCAGUAUCAACACAACCUUGCUUAUUCAGAGAAAACCCCAACCCUAUUGACUUCAAAAACGGUGGGAUUGAAUCCUUGAUCCCAUUGAAACCAAUGACAAAACUUGUAUUGAUUUCAGUGGAAGCAGGAUCAGGUCCUUGAUGUUAGCAAUUUGUUUAUGUCAGAGGGCUGAUCCUACAAGAAAUGAAAGACAGCAGCAGAUCUGCUGGCAGGAAAUCAGAUCUGCUCCCCAAAAUCCAAAGGCAGAGCUGUGGUGGAGCUCCUUUAUGCUGAGGUUUUAGCACAGGGAUGCAGCGUGGUGGGAUGCCUGUGUAAUUUUGUCUGGACGAGAAAGCUGGUCCUCCUGGGAGCAUUCAAAUGAGCACAUCUAUAAAUGCAGCACGGCAAAAUGAGCUACUUUUGCCACUCUCGCUUUUCCCAAGCCCGGCACAAUCCAUUUCUGUGACGACGGUUUUCUGCCCCGUACGCAUCCAAUACUGCUCUUUUAUUUUAAGGCUGAGAAAAUCUUCCCUUUAAACUCAUGCUGAGCAUCAAAUUGGACUCCACUUGCAGCUGAACAUCUUGGCUGUCUCUUCCUUUCCUCCAUCAGCUCCAGUAUAUUUUAUGUAGAAUUCUCCCUCUUAAUGAAACUUGCUUCUCCUCUCUUCACUUUCCAGUUUUGUAUUAGUGUUACCGAAUCCACCAGACUUGCUGCAUUUCAAAGCUGCAGAAGGUGAGAAAAUAAAAACAUUUAUUUCCCUAUACAGUCUCCUAUUUGGCCAUUCUGCCCAGAUCAUGAAUACACAACCUCUAUUCAGUUGUCUGUAAAGUUUCUGUGACUAAAUUAGAAAAAAAGUAGCUUGAAAAGACAGGCUUAAACAGACAUUUUGGUUGCUUUUGUGUCACAUCCAAGAGGGCUUGUGUUUUAGCUCUAGGAAUUGUGAGGUUUUAGCAGCUGCUUCUAUUUUAUUCCCCUGGAAGUGCCUGACAGUCACUAUAUGGAAAAUGCAGCAUCGGUGCUACACUUGAGUGUGUGAGUUGGCUCUGUCUACUCUGAGUCCAAAUUAAGUGAUGAGUUUUUAGCAAUCAGGAUAUUUUCGUUGCUCUUUUAUACUGUUCAUAAAAUGCUAGAAAUAUUGCAAAUAACAUUGUAUAAUGUAGAGGCAAUUUCUCUCUCUGAAGGGAAGACAGCACAGAAGUGUGACUGAAAAGCUGCAAGUGACUCUCAGACGUGGCUAAAGGUUGGCAUCACCACAUUUGCACUGUGCUUGUUCCCUGAUGCAUGUCCUACUUUACUAAUUUUCAUGAACAGCUUUUGCCUAAAUGUAAAAAUCAAUGAAGACAUUUUGAUGCUAGAAAAAAAAAUCUAUUCAUUUAAAAGAAAUAAAGACUUAAGAUGCAAUAAAGAUUUUUAUACAGCUUUA